rnacentral:piRNA from 1 species
UGGCUGCACACGCCUUUUUGCGACCC